rnacentral:tRNA from 1 species
AGCCGCACAUGCCCAACUGGUGUUGGGAGCAGACUGUAAAUCUGUGGCCCUAGGGACGGUGAGGUUCGAUUCCUCAGUGCGGUA